CUGUUGGGAAGACAUAAUUGAGUUUUUAAAUGUGAGAAAGACAUAAUAUUUGGGAGGGAACAGGGGUGGAAUAAUAUGCUUUGGUUCUGUGUUCCCACUCAAAUCUCAUGUCAAACUGUAAUCACCAUGUUUUGAAUUUGGGAAAG